AUGAUUGACACAAAUUGCCCCAUCAUGAGUUGGAACAUCCGUGUCUUAAACACGCCGGCACGACGCGCAGUUGUCUGCGAAACAGCAGAAGCUCAUAGGCUAGCCAUCCUUUGCCUCCAGGAGACCAAAAUUGAGACCUGGAAUCGCCCCCUUGUCAAGGACGUCGGCGGUACAAGACUAACCGAUUGCGUUGUGCUCCCCGCCUCCGGUACCAAGGGAGGGGCUGCAAUCUUCUGGGACAGCUCUGCUGUAGAUGUACAGUUGCAUGCCAUCGGCCUUUUCUCCAUCACUGCUCGCGUCACCCUGAGGUCAACAACAACAACGUUUUGGCUGACCAUAGUGUACGGCCCCGUCGACGAUGGCAGAAAGGACGAGUUCCUGUCAGAAAUAGCUAGGACGGUGCCGCCACCAAAUGACACAUGGCUCAUCAAUGGCGAUUUCAACCUCAUAUACAAGGCUAGUGACAAGAACAAUAGCAACAUCAACCGUAGAAUGAUGGGAAAAUUCCGCGUGGCGAUCGACGCCGCAGGACUCCGGGAGAUUAGAUGCAAAAAUCGCCGCUUCACAUGGAGUAAUGAGCGCGAUGAUCCGACUCUUGUCAGCAUCGACAAGUUCUUUUGCAGCAACGCCUGGGACACCAUCUUCCCAACCUUCCUCCUGCAUGCCGCUUCAACGUCCUGCUCCGACCACUGCCCCCUUCUGCUCGCCGCAACAACUGCACCACACCGACCGACUCGUUUCCGGUUUGAAUCCUUCUGGCCGCGCUUCCCCCGUUUCCACGAAAUGGUGCAACAUGCGUGGGAUCGCCCCGUUGCCUCUAGUUGUGCAUAG
rnacentral:rRNA from 1 species